rnacentral:rRNA from 1 species
AACGUAGGUGGCGAGCGUUAUCCGGAUUUACUGAGCGUAAAGCGUGUGCAGGCGGGUUGGCAAGUGGGGUGUGAAAUCUCCGAGCUUAACUUGGAGGGGUUAUGUCAGACUGCCAUUCUAGAGUGCGAGAGAGGAAUGUGGAAUUCCGGGUGUAGUGGUGAAAUGCGUAGAGAUCCGGAGGAACCCCAGAGGCGAAGGCGGCAUUCUGGCUCGCAACUGACGCUCAGACACGACAGCAUGGGGAGCGAACGGG